AGCUUCUCUUCUCUCUUUGCAUCUCAUUCUUAAGCUUAUAUCCGGCCUGGUAUUCUACUUGCUUUCCGCCGUGAUGGGACUAGGCUUCAAUUAUCCCCUUUACUUGGACAAAGAACUAGAAGGUCAAGAAAGAAUCCAACUCCAGAAAUAUAUAUCCAUCAGCAGCAUUUUCCCUUUAUUAAUGGCUUUUCUUUCUCAUAAGGUUUUUCUGUAUGAAUGGAAUCUGAAAGGAAUGGUUACGUAGGCUUUACUGUAGAAAGGAAUGUUACGUAGGCUUUACUGUAGAAAGGAAUGUUACGUAGGCUUCCAAGGUUCCUAUGAAUAGAAUCUUGCUGACUUUGGAGAUCUUUAUUCUAGAGUGGGUCUUCCAAUCUUACUUUUCUUAUUUCGAUGGACAAAACAAGGUAAGAAUGCGAAAAAGCUAUUGACUAAAGAGAAUAGGUAAUGUCAUUGUAAUUGAAAUAGGGUAAUUGAAUAGUCAUUUCAUUCUGAAAAGGGUCUUUCUUUAUCUCUGUAGUCCUUGACUCACUCGCUUUCUAACCAACCCGACGAGUUGAGUUACUUAUCCUUACCUGGCUAGCUAGUCUAAAGAAGUAUGACAUAUCACUGAUUUACCUUGCAGGCUCUCUUCCUCUUCCACUGUUACAUGAGUGCGAACCCUCCUUUUCCGAUUCUGCAUCAAUAUAAUGGAGUGGAGUAGAUCCUCAUUAUUCCACAGCAAUUCCAUUCGAGUUUGAACCCUCGAGUCAGUAGAUACUGGUUUCUAAUAAGGAGUGAAAGCGUCAUCUUCAAAAGUAGGAAUAAGGCUUGAUCUCGUCCCUUCAAUGUCCCCUGGUAGGCUAAACCGGCAAGAGAUAGCAGUCUAUACCUUAAAGCUCUAAGUCAAUAAGUCGGAAGGCUACUAAUAGAAAGAACAGAGCUCAUUUUCUCUCACCUCGGGAAAGGCCUGCCUAUUAAAGACAUAAGUGCAUCAAAGCCCCUUCCUGCUUUUGGGGAGCAAGUCAUAUUCUUUUUUCUACAAGAUAUCCUAGAACGUGCUACUGACAACAAGGAAGUCGGUAUUGUUUGCUUACAUGGUAAAUAACUCCAAAUCUAUGAUUGGGGCUACUAAAUUCAGAGUGAUCUGUCUAUUCAAGAAAAUAGCUUUUUGAUUAGUUUCAAAAACCCCAAACCUUGAUUUCUUGUUUCUUGGAUCAAGGGGGCUCCGUAGAGCUUCACUAUGCCCACCCGCUCCUUGAAGUAGAGCCUCCAUCAAAGCACCUGUACCCUAUCGGGGUAGCAUCUUUUCCUACCGGCCACAAGCUUGAAUCUUGACCCGCUUCUGAAUCUGAAACCCAGACUGACUGCUUCUUAACUUGCUUGCGUGAAGUGGUAUCCAUUGCGGCUUCUACCAAAGGGGCUUUCAAUGCUUUCAAAGAAUUCCAUGAUGAAUCGGGUUGCUGAAAACAAACCCCUUUUCUAAAGCUUUCCUAUCUAUUAAGUAAGAAAACUUAUGAAGUAACGCUUCUUUGAUUCAAGAGCACAUUCUCCUUCGGCAAUUUGAAAGCACUAGCGAUCCUAUCCUAUACCAGUCACUUAUGAUCGCUUCUAUCUCGGCUUUCUUUCUGUUGACUUUGGACUCAAUCUUUCAAAGGUGGAAGCGCUAACUAGUCUGUCUCACCUGGUCUCAAUGGAGAUGUGUAGGGUUCAGGACAUAACCCUCGUCCGUCUGCUACCAAGCCAUAAUCAAGUUCCAAAAAGGACUGAUGGCGAUCGACGAAUGCGUGCUCCGUAGCUGUUUUGAAUGAACGUCGUCUUUCUCAGACCGUGUAAGCUUAUAACCACUUUAUGGCUGUAUUGCAGUUGUGGAUUCAGAACAAACUUAGGAGAGAGAAAGUUCUUAGGACCUCCUUUUCUGAUAUCACGAUAUCUAAGAGUUUAAUGGACUGUGAAAAGGAAGUGAAGACAAGAAUAGAGGAAGAAUUCAGAAGGCAAGAAGAAACUACACUCGACCCAGAAAUAAGACUAUUGCCUAUAUAAUAUAGAUCAAAGAAUCAAGAAAUCAAUUUCGAAAGAAAAUAAGAUAAGAUCAUGUAUAUAAUUGUUAUUCAUAUAUUCUUAUUCAUUUGUGUGCUUAUUAUUAUGAGAUUUGGUUGGAUUAUUCCUUCUAUAUUAAUAUCCAUUCUUAUGAAAACUCUUUCUGCCCUAACUGCCUCGCUCUGUAACCCGGCGUUAUUUCCCUGAUAGUUCUUCUUCCUUCAAUCGAGUUGGAGUUAUUAUUCUCUCAAUAGAAAUAUCAGAAUGAUAGCAGCUAGUUUGAUUCGAGUGAUAAGGCCCCGGCCCUCAAAAGAGUCUGACUUCUUAAUCCCAUCCCCAACAUUCUAGCCAUAUAGUAGCUGUGAGAAUUGCCAGCCCUAUACUAUAGUGCCAAAAGGGAAUCUCCUAUUGAUUGUAUAAGUUAGAGUUUCCAGCCCUCCGAUAGGCUGCUUUCUUACCUGUUAUGAAGAAGACUCAUACUAUAGAUAGAUAUGCUUGACCUAAUAUGAUAGAUAUGCUUGACUCUCUCUUUCUGGGCAAUUCAUCGAUCAGUUAAUACAGCUGGUUUGUUGGAGAUAGCAGGUUAUCGAGCAAUAAAGCUUACUUAGGAAAGCUCGAGUUAUAGGCGAGUUAUAAGUCCGUCCUUCCAAUUUCACAGUUGCUAUAUGAUAGUCGCACUUAUAGGUAUUUUAGGCACGAAAGCAGGAUAGGAAAGAUGCUUCCUACGCGAGCUCAAAUCCAUUGCAGCAAGAAAGAUCAAGAAAAGAAACGGAUUCGCUCGACCGGGACUUGUGAACAGUGAGCAUAUGGGCAUAAAGGCAUCAAAUAAAUAGGAAAAACUCGAGUAGGCGGCUGACCCUCUUGAACCUCCCCUUUCAGAAACUCCUAUGGCCGAUCUUCCUUCUUAGACUCUAUUCCAUCCCGCUUAUCCUUUUGAAUAUCAUUGAUGAAUUGAUAGUUUUGCUACCGCCACUCCUGAAGAACGCCUGUUACGUUACUCUCUUAAUAAGGAGCGAGUCUCUCUUGAUUAAACGCUUAACGGACUAACUGGGGGUGAUUGGAUCGAGGUUCAAUAGGUAUGAUUAAAGAAAGAAUAGGUUGGUAUAGAAUAAGAUUGGGUCCUGAUGGUCUGCAUGAUUCACAAGAUAGACGGAGAGAGGUUCUGUUAACUGUGUGUUUUCCUUCCUCCCCUUGUCAGUCGAGUGCUUACGAGCAUCAAUCCUUUUCUAUUUCACUAAUUCUCACUGUCCCUAGAUAGAAUAGAUGAGAUUCCAGAAAGGGUAUGUAUGUCCCUAGAUAGAAUAGAUGAGAUUCCAGAAAGGGUAUGUGAGAUUCAAGGGUAUGUCCCUAUAGAUAGAAUAGAUGAGAUUCAAGGGUCUGGUCUGUCCCUAGAUUCUAUUUAAAGGUAUGUUCCUAGAUAUAAUGGAUUCUAUUAAGGGGUCUGUCCCUAGCCUGGAUAUGAUAGAAUCUAUUUGAUGGUGGAUUCGCCUAGAUAUGAUAGAAUCUAUUUUAGGGUGGAUUCAUGGAUGAGGUCGAGUGGUCUCAGUUGGAGAUGGUAUAUUGCACUAGUUUAUGGAUUGAACGAGAUUAACACUUGGAACAUAGGACAGGAAAAACAAGGGUCGAGACUGAUAGGCUGGCUUGGGGGAAUAAUAAUACUGUGGCCUCCGCAGAACGGAUUGGAUGCUCCCCUAUUAAUUAGAAUAUGCAAAGCCAAUGGAAUCGAGCUGACUAAGAUGGAUGUAAAGUACUUGUUUAAGUCCUAGCAACAAAUCUUCUGUUCUUUUCUUUCUUUGCGGGAUCGGUUUCAUUCCUAUCACUUUGCUUUGUUAUCAGCCCGGUAGAAGUCAGAGGGUUCCCUUGAUUGUUAUCGCUACCGGUGGAAGGAAGAGGGCAGUUCAAAUACCUUGAUUGAGACGAGACGGUAUAAGAGGGCAGCGUCAGCUGCUACCUUGAUUGAUAGCUAUUAUGAUCAGAUUCCAUGUAUCUGGAUGGAGUCUUCUAUCAUUUAUGAAAAACACUCCUGUCCUUACUGCCAAACUGUAGUAAGCUAUAGUAUUUUGCUUGUUUGCUUGUGUUGCUUCUUCACAGCAUAGCUUCAACACUCUCAACUCUACUUAAGAAAAUAAUACAUAUAAGUAACAAACGGUGAACGAAACUCUACCCUUGGCGCGCCCUAAAAGAGAAGUCCGUUAAUGUACCCCGGAAAGUAACCUAACGCUUGCACAUUCUAUACAAGAAUAAAGGUCAACAACUAGCGCUUAAGUAUCACAUUCUAGAAGAAAGGUCAACAACUAGGUAAACAAACGGAAUCAGAAUAAUAUCAUUGAGUGCCGGAGUAACAAAGCACUAGUGUGCGCUACUAAUGCACAACUCGCUAACGCAGGAGCUCAACUCAAGCUUCUAACUCAACGACUAACGCAAUUGAAUAUCACGUGUAACAUAGUUUCUAGUUGAUUAAACAAACAAGCAUUCUUAUUAACUGGGUAGCAAAGUCGACUCAACGGGCUGAGGUAAAUAAAUCCGAAUGGAAGAGAGCUCUUAAUACGCCAAGCCAAGAUAACCAUCACAACUUCUCAAGCCAAGAUAACCAGAACACAACGCUUCUAAAUUGAUUCUCUAAUAACUCGCCCGCCUAUAAUGAUAAGAUAAUAUAAGAAAGCCUUCACUGAACUUAUAAGUAUAGGCCGGUCUGCAACUAUCAAGGUUUUUUCCACUUUACGAGAUACAGCUAUCGCAGCUACAGUUUGGCCUUUCAGUCACGCGUACCCUAAACUCCAAAACCAACUUCAGGCUAAUGCACAACUCAAAGAACUCUGUUAGCCCAUACGAUCAAAUGGUUAUUCACAUAACUCAACAAACAACGGAACAAGCAAACUAACCGCAUUGCUUCUAUUGCUUGCUUCUUUUCUGAACCCUAGAUUUCAGUACUCAUUUAUUCUCUCAGCAGCCAGCAGCUGACGCUGACCUUGCUUUUUGACCUUGCUUGUUUUGUUCGAUAACUCACUGACGUCUGCUUGUUUACUUACUUAUGCCUUUCAGAAUGACUAUGGGCAUCCGAGUCAGCUAAGCUUCUAGGGAUGAUAAAACAAUCGUCUUCUCUCUUCCUACUCGAUCUUCUAGGGCGAAUUCAGAUCUUAGCUUUCCCGGUCGCUGGAGCAGCCGCCACUCUCCCUUCGCUCUGGAACACCAAUGAUGAUGAAGAUAAUCCUUCUGAUUCUGCUCUUAACAACUUCUUCUGGUAGUAAGAUACUCUUUCUUUUCUUCUCUUCUUCUGCUCUUAACUACACCUAUAUUUAUUGCGAAAAUAGACUCGCCUUUCUACAAGCAAGACAAAGAAGCAAAGCAAGAGCGUGAAGUUCCGCGAAGAGGGAAAGAACGUAGCUAGAGCAGUUCCAGCAGUAUUUCCUGAUGUGUCUUGCGGAUGCUGGUCUUUUUGGAGUUCUCGCAGUAUUUCCUGAUGUAUCUUGCUUGCGGGUGCUGUCACUCAUGCAGGAGCCUCUACACCAGGUGUCAUGCAAUAACUAUCAAAGUGGCAAACGCGGUGGCUUCGGGCAACAACGGGCAUUUCCCAUUCUUCUCUUAGUGGGUGGGACAGCCAGAGAUGUAGGGUCUAGUGGUUUUCAGCCUAGAUAAGCUACAGCGGCAAAUCACUUCUUACGAGUUCCCAACACAACUACGCGUAAUACUUUAAACAGGUGUGGCUGGAUGCUUCUUCUCAAUAGGAAUAGUAGUCCAAAUCCAAGCAAGCUUAUUAUGAACAUCUAUUGGAGUCGAUCAUUUCCAAGAUCCAAUUCUAGUUUCUUAUUAUGUAAUGGAAUAGCUUUACAAUCUUCCGUUUUACGCUGUAGCUUAAAGGAGAAAAUGUUCUUGGUGGAUGCAGGACCAGGUACCCCACUCAAUUGUAUGGAAGAUGAGCUUACAGGAGUGCCAAUAAACCGAGCCACGAGCCACAGGUUUGAGAAUAAGGUGGGAUCCCAGAAUGUAGUGGCAGGUGACUCACAGAUUCCAGAGCGGAUUAAUGAUAGAUUCUUAAUGGAUCUAGUGGCCGGUCAAUCACAGAUCAAAGAGCGAGCUGUCUUAAGGUUUCAUGAUUUUUGGGGAUCCCUGGAUGUAUUGGCUGGUGAACCGCUUCUUCUUCCACGAAGAUUAAGACAAAACCGAGCUUGGAUAGAACUGCAGAAGAAUUGGCGAACGAAUAAGAAGGUCAAAGGCUUCAUUAUUAACAAAGUCAAAGGUGGUUAUUCAGUAGCCAUCGCGGGUUUCAUUACCUUUCUUCCAUUCUUUCCUCUCAACACUCAAAAGAUAGCGAAUGAUAGAUUCACCAUUGAGAGCAUUAAUCCCAAUAGGAGGAAAAUUGUGGUGUUCUAACAGCAGUAGAUCCAAGUAAGAUCAAAAUCCAAUCAAAAGGAAAGGCUCUCAGCUCCUUUCUUUUGUUGAGGGAACUUCUUACUGCUUGCUCUUUGAUAAGGUAAGCAGAGGAGCAUUGUAUGCUUUUUUGACCCUUGUCCCAUCCAUUCUAGAAGUCAACAACAGCUUCAUCUCGGCUUAGCUUACGGCUUCAUCUUCGUCAUAGAACAUAAAUAGUCCAUCCCGUGCUCAAGCUUUCUCUUCUAGGUUUGGUCCUACUUAUUAUUCUUUACGAAAAACAAACAAACCCCAAUUCUCAACCGGCGUGGCACAGCCUUCUUCUCAAUAGAACAGGAAGAGGAGCAAAUAAGGACCACCAAAAGUAACGACAACCAAGAUAGGCAUAGUGAUUCGAUCCUUUGAGAACCCUAUUUUGAAGAACCACUAUUUGUUGGGGCUUACCCCUAACACACUACAGAUUGGAUUGCCUGAUUCACGAGUCUUAUAUACAUUGUUACGAUCACCUUUUAUUGAUCAAAAGUCCAGAGAACAAUUUGAAAUGAGAAUAAAGAAACAAUAUCUGGUCAUAAAAACAGAAAGGCAUGAUUCAUUGCGCAAGAAGUUCUUUCGGUUAAAACGCCGUGCGACUCGGAGAACAUAAGACUCUUUUGUAAGGCUUCUAAUCUUGCCUUGCCGACGGAAUGCUCCUACCCCACCAUGCCUAGCCCUUUCCCUUAAUCAUAGGAGAGGAGGUAUGAAGCGUGGAAAAGAAUGCAAUCAGUGUAUAUGACAUCAUCAUGUAACCUUAAGGAGUGGAGGUAGCAAAACUCAACAUUGAUCAACGCGAGUGAACUGUGCUUAGACGCUUCGUCAAACCGCACCACAUCUACAAGAGGAGCAAAUUGAUGAGUGGGCUUCCCCUUUCGAUUCACGGAAUGUGAUCUGAGACACGAUGGGAGUUUGCGUGCCUCGGUAGGCAAGAGAUCACCGGAGUAUAGCACAAGAUCGCCUUUUCUUGCUGCCAUGGGGUCAACCUGUUAACAAGGUAAACCCAAUGGGAUGGGAACCAAAAAACAGUAGGGUACCGCAUUGGGCAGAAGACGAUUCAAAAAGCGAAGGCUCACCCUUGGAAGUGCCGGGUGAGAUAGGCAACAGGUAGCUUGCUUCCAUGCCGUCUACGAGGAAUCAAUAUCUCUUUGCCGGUGCUGACUUGGAUCUCGGGUGACGGAAUAAGGCGGCCAGAAGCCACUUUUCGUUUACAGCUUACUUAGCGGGCGAAGCUUUACCGAUAUAGGCAGUAAGCUUGGCCACAGCGAAGCGCUUACCAAACGCUAAAUCAAGAGGGCCUUCGACACUUGAGCCGUAUGCGGGGGAACUCGCACGUUCGGUUCUUUGGGGGGGAGACCGUCGGUUGAGCCAUUCCAUCCCAAUAGCGUAUAUUUGGAGCUCAAUAUUCAAUCCGUCUUUCUUGCAAGACCCGUUUAGAUAAGGGAAAACUCAAGAGAUUGCUUCGAAAGCUAUCGAAAAUACCUUGAAUACACUAACCGAAUCAUAUCAUAAACCAGAACCACAUUGGAUAUUGUGUCUUGGGUUCUUUUGGGAUAAUGGAUAACAAAUGUAUUUUCUUACGCGCUAUAUCCCCUGCUGUUUGUUGUGGCUUUCUCAUUCUUGUACAACACCCAACCUCUGGAGUUGAUUCAUUCUGUCAUCAUUGUACCACUAAAUGUUCAGGACGAGGGCAAGUCCCCAUUUGGAAGAUGCUACUCCGGUGACUUUGGUCCGCAACCGACAUCAACUAUUUCGUUUCGUUCGUAUAGAAGUCUGAGUGGAUCAGUAGCUUCUGCAUAAGCAGUGAAUUAUAAGACUGCGUGGAAGCUGGUCCGGGUUUCUGCAAUAGGGAGCAGAGCAAGUAGGUCUUCGGCACGCCACACUUGAAGAGCUUUCCCGCUCGCUUUCUGACGACACUGUCCUUUACCUGAGCACUGUUACACUGUAGUGAAUGUACAGGCAUUCAAAUAGUUUCUACGAAGUCGUAUAUUUAGGUAGGACUUAUGAGAUGAGAACUUACAACCACUAGGCAACCAAAGUCAUUAUCUCAAAUCUCUAAAGUGAAUUGAGUUAAGGGAGGACCUUGGGGUGUCGUGGAAUAAUUUGGUUCGAUUCCCGUUAUACGUGAUGUGGCAAAAAACACUUAUGGAAGGGGAAAUUUCAUGCCUGCAUUAAGAUUUCAAGCGUGUCGUCUACUUCUAGGAAAUGUUCGGAACAGAGAACUUUCUCUAAUACAACGCAGCAUUCUCCGAAGAUUGAGGAACAAGAGGAGAUCAAUCCAAAUCAAUCUUUCUAGGAGAGAAAAUCGAAACUGUUACAUUAAAUCACAAACAACACGAAAGUUGUCCCUUUAUUAUGGAGAUUUACCUACAAGGGGGCUUCUUCGGAGAGGAAGAGAACGAACUUCAUAUAUCCCUUUUCUACUCAAUCAAGAAACAAGAUCGGACGUGAUUCUGGUUCGUCUCCAUUUUAGUAAAACCAUUCCUCAAGCAAGGCAGCCGAUAAGUCAUCGAAAGGUUAGUUUGAAUAAUGGACAGGUCAGCAUAACAAGUUCUCAAGUUUCCCACGGUGAUCUAAUAUCUUUUCCAGAAACUAUAGCCGAAAUACAAAUAAGGAGAUCUUUCUAUAUCGACAUAUCAGUUGGCAAAAUAAUAGGGAAAUUCCUGCCGGUCAGAAUGUGGAGAAGAACCAAAACAGAAUGGUUCCGCUUACUCAAAACAAAGAGGGGGUGCCGUCUACUACUCCAAUCCGGGUUUUUGCAAGAGUUGCGUGAUUCUAUGCAAGAAGAAGACUUAGAAAGAACAAAGAAGUUUGGAUCCGCUAAAGUAUGCUUAGGCAGUUCCUUCGCUGAGCACAACAGAAUGAAGAAGAAUUUGUUUCAUUUCAAAUACUUUUUCUUAUUGAAGAGAAGGAAGGAGAAAAACCGAAAUCCUCCAACUCUUUCCAUAUGCGCUUUUGUUGACAAGUAUAAAGUAUAUUGUAAUUCGACCUAUUGCUCUGGAUCCCCUUUUACUAGGAAGAUAAGAAUCAAAAGGAUCGAACUACCUACUCAUUAUUCGGAGGUAAAUCAUAGAACACCAAAAGCUGUGGUAUCUUAUGGACCUAACUUAGGGAACAUCCCUCACGACAUAAGAUUGAAAGAUCCAAACCUUCCUCUUUAGAGCUGAUAAGUAAGAAAACGUGGCCAAAGCAUAUAAGCCCUCAUAGGGAAAUAUCCAUCCUGGGAGUAUAUCUCUCCUUAUAGAGAGGGUCUCCCUUUGGAUAGAAAUCAAUAUGUAAGACCGUCGCAGUCGACUAUAAGUAUCAGAUUGCUGGCCUGAGAGAAGGCAGUCUCUCUCGGGAAAACAUUGCCCAAUUUCUCUUCUUUCUUUUCACACAGGCGAAUAAAAGACACUAUGAACGAACAUGAGUUUCAAAUGCUCAAAGGGGAACACACUUUAGACAAAGGGAUUUGUUGUCAGGAGGAGUUUGGACUUUUCUUAGAAAGUCAAGCUCUUGACAAGUCCCAAGUGGAUUCAUAGGUCAUUAAUUCAUGAAUUCUUGUAAAGCUCUUGACAAGUCCCAAGUGGAUUCAUAGGUCAUUAAUGAAUGAAUUCAUUCCUCAUUUGUUGACUACAGAGAGGCGGAACAAGACUCAUUUUGUUGCUGUAGAUCCUGAUUAAUAGCGGCAGUGAGCUUUCUAGAAAACCACUUCUCUUUCCCGUCUACCAACUCUGUAGACUUUCUGUAUAAGAAAAGAAAAGCCUAUCAAAUUAUAUCUGAUAUUUAUAAAGAAUAAGAGUGGUCUGGUCCACAGAUAUAGGAUUCUGUUUAGAAGUUUGAGAGCAGUAGAGCCAGUAAACCUAUACUGAGGGGAAUUGACUUACUUACUUAAAUGUGGAAGAUUGCUCAUAUCUAAUCCCUUAUACUUGGCCUAUUAAUUAACUUGUUGUUACUAUAUCCGUUCUUUAAUUAACUUGUUGUUACUAUAUCCGUUCUUCUGCUCCCGUUAGCUUAGUGUUUCAAGCAGACAAAAGUAGUGAGUGACUUAGAAGCGGUUUCUCUAGGGUGUAGUGGUCCGGUCCUGUUUCAUCUGUCUUUGUUUUAUUAGUUGACACGCGUAGUAUUAGUUUACACUGGUCCAGACUUAUUAAUGGUUGCGAUAGCAGUAGCAAGUCAAGCAGAAGGUAUCUCAACUAUGAAUCAGCAGGAUCAGAGGAAGAAUUCUAAGAAAGAUCCUUAUUGAGAGUCGAGCGCAGAAGAAUCACCUCUCUCGUCCAAAAACGGAUUCCACUUUUCUCUAAAGUUGCCAACUAACAAGCAGAGCUACGGCAGGACAAUAUGGCAAUUCCUCAUCACCCAUAGGAAAUGACUGGAAAUCUGAGUUGAAGCGUUAACCGACACCACUACCCGGGCCGGGCCCUCAAACGGAAGUAUACCACCGCACAGAUAGAAUAUGGUUUUUCGGUAGAACUGCUUAUAUACGAUACUUAAUAGAAUACGGGUUCGUUUGUUCCACUAUCUGCUCUCGAGUCGCCAACACUUAUUGUUUGAGUUUGGGAAUGUUUUAUUACUUAAGUGUAUCUUAUGUCAGUGAUAUCUUAAGUCUAUCUUAUGUCUGUGAUAUUAUAUUAUUCCAUUCUGAAAGCCGUUGCGCAAGUUCUCGAGUUACUAGAAUCAGGUGUUACUAGUUUAUAUGAUCAGUGUGCACUCAUCAAUGAUAUUUCAACGAGCUCGCUAAGGGAACUACACCUCUGAUUCAGCUACACCUCUUCUCUUCUCUUCUCUUCUUUACCGCCUCUAAUGUUUGCAGAAUGUCUUUCAUCUUUCGAUUCGGCUUCUAUAUCGGAUUCCAAUAAUUCUGAACUGAUGUGAUAUACCCGAGGAAAGUCAACAACUCGCAUUGCGACAUGAAAUUGAGACUCAGUUAGCGCACGACCUCUCUUUGAAGAACUGCUUGUGGCAGACUGAACUCUUACUGCGGAUUCUUGAUACAAAGGCUUUCGCCCCUCAUUCUAUUCCAUAUUCUCUUACUGCCCCACAAGUAGGACUUUCCUUCACUCGCUUGACGAUGAAACUAGAACAGUCAAUUGCGCCUGAAAUCCCCUGCCUUAAAAGAUGCAAAAGCACUUGCUUGUUCCUAAGCUUGUUUAGUAGUGACUUGGCGGGUUGGUCUUAAAGUCAACAAGAGGCAAAAGGUAUGCUGUGUAUUUACAUACAUCUAUGCCAGGUGAUCCAUUUCUAGUUGAUAGUUACCCCAGUAGUAGGAAAUGUAGUUGCUCGCCUCUAAGCUACCUGCCGCUCUAACACCCCCUUAUAUACAAGUUCACUGUUGUACUGCCGCUACACAUUAGUAUACGCUUGUCGGGGCUUACUUUACUAUAUCUAAGGCUUUUACUGCCGGGGCUUACUUUACUAUAUCUAAGGCUUUUACUGCCGGGUUUAGCUCUUCUACUAAUGAGUCAAACUCUGUCCCCUCGCCCUCUGCCUGGCCUGGUUCACUCUAAUACCGAUGAGCUAAAUCAUAUCCCCGGCACGCCGACUACUAUGUUGAUUUACUUAUAUUUCUCAUAUGUUUUAUCGUAUUCUAUUUGAUAUUAGUUUCUUAGGCUCCACUAGGUUCUUUUUCGAGUAGUUUCUUCUAGUUUAUUGGUUCCAAAACUAUAUGACUUUUGAUCUUUUCUAUUUCUAUGUUAGUUCCGGUGUGAAGUCAAUGCUUUCCCCGAGCAAAGAGAUAGGUUUGGUCAAGUGGCUAGUAAGCUAAAGAAUGAGAAGGCAUAGCUAAAGACUUUAUGCUGGGGCACUCUUAUUGUAAUCCAGGAUGAGCUAGUGAGGGAACCCGGUGGAGUUUCACUCGUUGGCGUAGGAAUGACCUUGGAAGUUGGAAUGAAAGGACCGAGUCACAGAAUUGACACUAUGUUUCAAAGGGCAGGUGCGUAGAUCAGCUCUAAGGGCCAAGCAACGACUUAUAAAUGUUCUCCUAAUGGGCCAAGCUACUACGAACAAGUACUACCGGUCUGACUUGCUAGCGCAUAUAGUAUAGGAGUCAAGAGUUAAGGAAAGCUCUGCUCGAAAGUAAGCAGCAAGAUGUUUUUCCAGAAAUAUGACAAGUGGGAGUUUGACUCGGUGCAAGCAAGUUCCAUCCUUGGCUUUACUGGUUAACUCUCCAAAUCUUAGUUAACAGUCUUGUCUUAACCGAACAGCCAACACCGAUAAGUACUCUCCGGCGUGAAAGCGGAAUCCGGAGAAGAUCUGGAUCAGAUGAAUCCGCAAGUCCUGUCGUCAUUGAACUUAAUAAGUGAGUUGGUAACCACAGAGCAGGGUAGCUUGUUUCCCGACGCCCCAGUUCCGUUGUCAACGAGAGAAGAAUGCCGAGAUGCGAGAGAAUAUACAGUGCUUGUCAAGUCUAAGUUCGGUGCUUGGCUUGCUUUAUGUUAAGGGUAGAAAAGAGAGUUGGGACUCGACUGAAGAAUGAAUGAAAUCGUAGUCCUAUUUCUGCUGCGCUAAGUCCUGAUUGUCCUGCUUGCUGUAGCUCCUCUUUAGUCGGAUAGUCCCACUGUAGCUCCUUCCCUUGUUGUAGAGAGAGAGGUUUUUGUCCUUCCCGAGCCAAGUAGUGAGUCGGCCUAUUCUUCUUGUCCUGCUGGAGCUCAAGCAAAGUACUCUCGUGAAAUACCUGUUCCAAUUCUAGGAUCUGGUAAGGAAGCAGAAUCAAGAAAGUAGACAUCAACGAGAUCAUAUCAUAAUAUAGACUAUUGGCACCACUAUCCCAAACGAUCUAUCUAAUCUUAACUGCUUACAGAAACUAGAAACUUGAAGAAGAAGAUAAUAUCACGUUCCACAUACAUAUGGAAUGAAGUAAAAACACCUCAAUGCUAUCCUUUUGCUUCCAUACUAUAUUACAAGACUGCUAUCCUUUUCUCUUUUUCACUCUAUAAUGUUCUAAUAUUUCUCAGAUACGGAUCCUGUUUCAUAUAAUACUCCUGAUUCUUUACCUAUUUCUAUACUAGACUCCCUUUCCUUUCCCUUUGAUUUUGGCUACUUGACCUCUCCUUGAAGUUCAGAAUUCAUUGAAUCUUUCCGAGUCGUUUAACCUAUGCCCAUGUUUAAGGACUGGGGGCGUAAGAAGGUCGGGCAAUUCUCUAAGUCAGGCAAUCGAUUUCUUUUCAUAUGAUUAAAGUAGAACAGAAAGCCAAUGGAACAGCUCAAUCCUCUGUCUAAUUACCAAGUUGUUCUAUACUUGACUAAACUAGCUUCUUUCGAACAGCUUCUUCAGUAGGGAAAGCUAUGACCACCUUGAUUACCUGCUGACUUUCGAAUGGAAUCUUUGACUUGCGCUAACGGAGUGUAGUCGGCCAACACUGAUUCAUUAUCAGGUCGACAAACUGAUGAAACUAUACCACAAGGAGCAGAUCUCGCAUCUGAUCUUACAACAUAAAGAAACUAGUCUACAACACUUGUGGAAUGUCAUUGCCUCUCAAGAACUGGAAUGGUAGCUUCAGAUCCUUUACUCUCUUCUGCUAACUCGAAAUCAGGUGUUGUAAUAAGUUCAUCUUAUGAAUGGAGUGUACCUAGUAUAGACCCAUGGAGCGGUAACAACACAUCUGACUUUAGGGAAAACUUAUAGACCUACGGUAGGAUACGGAGUUGAGAGAAUUCGCUGUAGAAAGUAAGUAAGGCACGGCACUCGAAAGAUUCAAUCCAAUCCUUUGCUCGAACUCAAUUUCUCCUCUUAAUACAACAGAUUCAGUUGUUCCUACUCCUUCUAUUGUUCUAGCCUCUGAUCAAGUAUCUUCUCCAUUCUCUUGUUCGCACAGAGAAUCUAGUUUAUUUACCUACUCCGGGGACAGUCUCUCCAUCUUCUCUAAGCCAAGACCGGAACUCAUAUUUGUGGUUUUCCAUUCUUCAAUUCCAGGUAUCAAACGGAAUUCUUAAAGGCAGAAGGAGCACACGGUUGGUUUAGAGCCCAAGAACACACGGUUGGUUAAGAGCCCGUGGUGGAUUACCUCAUUAUAUAAAACAUGGCUAAGUCCUAUCAUUCUGAAAUUGCGUACUGCGCUAAGUAAACUAGAUUCUGCAAUUCAAACGGAAAGAACACUUGGUUAGUUACCCGGUUCUAUGAGAUCCCUCUGGCUAAUUAUUCCCGGACUGGGUGUUGAGUAAGUACAUUCGAAAUCGUACCCUAGCGCUUCAAAGCCAGAGUACUAUCCUUGCCUUGCACCCUCACUCAUUCACUCCCCGCUUCUGACCAAUACCCAGCUUAGAAUUCUUUACCAACUUAAUAUCCCGGUCUCGCUCUUGGAACUGUGCAUCCUCACCGGAUUCUGUUGUCGGUGUACACUUCCCUGCUCCUUUACCUGCCUCCAAUCCUUCCUACCCUUACCUUCAUUCUGAAACUAGACCUUCCCAUAUAAGAGAAAGGUUCCGGGUUAAAUCACUUAUAUAAGAGAAGGUUCCGGGUUCAAUCACGUAUAUAAGAGGUUCAAUCACUUAUAUGUUUGGUUUCCAUUCAAUUAGUUCUCUGUCAUCUCUUGGUUGAUCCCUUGCAAAUAAGACGGAAUUUCAUCUAGUGUGUUUCUACGUUCCAACUGUUUCUUUUCCUGACUUAGAGUAAAUCCAACCCUAUACUCUCGCAUUCAAAACAAUAACUACGCUGACAACAAGGAAUUAGGAAACGGAAAUCAAGAUAGUAAAGUAGGAUUUUCAGAAUGGAAUUGAGGAGCAAUAACAAGAUCCGGAGUUGUAGUUAAGUAUCCAAGAUAACAUACAAGAAUAAGUGUAUUUCCAGAAUUCUAUACUAUAUCCCUUUGGCUCAAUAAGAGAGAUAUUAAUGGAAAUGAAACAAUCAACGGAACCAGCAAGCUCAAGCGCAUCUGUACUGAAGCUUAAUACUUGUUCUGGGCACGGCAAAGCGGGACAAUCCGAAAGUGUUGGCGACUCGAAUCCCAGUUCUGUAAAUGGAAUUGAGGCAUCCAUCCCUACUAGGUUGAUAAGUUAAGCACCGAACCUUUACUUCGCAACGUUACGUUUCUAUACAACACACACUGCAUCCCUUUCUUUUGUCGACUUCUCCUGCAUAAGUAGUAUCAAUCCCUUUCUUUUGUCGACUUCUCCUUCAUAAGUAGUUUCAACAGAAUAAAAAGAAACUAGAUAAGGAUAAAAGGCUUUAGCAUAAGAAGAAGCUUUAUCCGGAUAAAGAGGCUUGAGCAAGUAGUUAUUCCGUUUCUGCGCUCGAUGAUACAUUCCAUUCAUUCUUUUUGUUGCGGGAAGGAACUAAAGGUGGAGUUCGGGAAGGGAGUUGAUAGUUUACAGAAAAGCUAAUAAACAAGUAGUAGAUCCAAAGAAAGCAAGAGAUGAGUCAAGUAAGUCGUCAGCAAAAGAUCUGGAUCAUAAGCCAUUACUAGUUUUCCUGGCGCUAGUUCAAGUCCAGUUUUCUCCUUGGUUCACGAAAAAAAGAGAAGUGGACCUGAGCCCGCGAUAGCAAGAGGAACCAUAGACUAAAGAGAAUAGAAAUGAGUCAAUGAAGACUUUCUUUAGGACUGAAGCCGAUCCUUUAGUAGAUGCCACAGUCACGUCAACUCAAGUAAGCGUUAGCGCCUGCAUACUCACUUCACUUCACUUUACUUUUCUCUUGCUUGCCACAAUCCUUUCCAUUAUAAAGGAAGACCAACCAAGACUGACUUGGGAAGACUAACCAAGACUGACUUGCAGGGACUAAUUCCUCGCUUGCAACUACUUUAAUAGAGACUAUAUCUAUGACACCUUAUUCAUUAUAUACUAUAUCUAUGUUAUUCAUUAAUUACUUUAUCUAUGACUCUAUGACACCUUAUUCAUUAAUAGAGACUAUAUCUAUGACACCAGAAGGGCAGGGAACAUACCAUACCAAUAACAUACUAUACUCUACGGUCGGCAAUAACAUACUAUACUCUACGGUCGGCUAGGAAUGAGGAAGCCGUCAAAGCCCCUCGACACCCAUAUAGGGAGAAUUGAGCAUCAAGAAAAGCACGAGAUUGAUGAUCCAAAAGAAACUAACAACACUUUGGAUUUCAAGAAGGAGCAGCUAGUAGUCCUUCCUUAUCAUUCUUCAUAACUUAGACUCUCAUAUAUGACCGAUGAAGGGCUGAAAAGGAUGUUUCAAUCGAAGCUUCUUGGGUAGGAUCUUUGCGCCAGAUAGUGGGGAGUUUCCUUCUCUCUGUCCCUAUACCCGAAUCGUACCUAUUCCAUUGGUUACCCGAAUCGUACCUAUUCCAUUGGUCAAGGGCUAGCUCCCCUUUCUCUUCCCCAAUUUAGCAGAAUGAGUAGGAGCUGUGCUUUUACGCGAUAAAGAAAGACGAACACUUGUGGCUUUUACCCUUGGCCCAACAAACUAAUGCAGUAAAUGAGCCGAUCAAUGAUUGCGCGAGGGAAGAUAGGGGUUGGGGAAAGACAAGAGAACUAAUUGAUGAAACCUACUCUCCAGGACAACUUCUUGCGGCGCUUUUCUACUUAUAUCAUAAUAGACGGGUUUAACCAUACAUACGAGCACUGGCUGGGAAUGCCACUACUGGGAUUUAUACGAAGGCAGGUGGGAAUGGGCCUGUAGAUCCAAAAAGAAAGAUGUAAACCCUAUUUAUUGCAAAGAUAGUAAGAUAACACUGCUGACAUAUUAAAUAAAGUAACAAAACAGCUUCAAGUUUUCUGACAUAUCACUUUCAUCACUCAUAUCGGUCUCUGUUGUUUGAGGGAAGAAUGGUCUUACUCAAAGGUUCUGCCUGCUCAGUUUGCUGUCUUUACUAAUAGCUCCGAUAGAAUCUCUUUUUGCGGUGAUUAGACUAGAUCAGUAAGAAAAUGGUAUCCAAACCUGUAAAUGGCUAUCUUAUUCUUCAUGGCACCCUUGUGUAUUGACAUGAGGAGUGCCUUUUCUCGAGAUUGUUGGCAUCCAAUUGUAAUCACAUCUCAUGGUGAAAGAGAAGGGAACGAGACUCAGGGCGGUCACCCACCUGUAAGAUAUAAGAAAAUGCUAUUCCAACCCACCAGGAGGAGAGAGAU
rnacentral:lncRNA from 1 species